GACGAACGCUGGCGGCGUGCUUAACACAUGCAAGUCGAACGGAAAGGCCCUGCUUUUGUGGGGUGCUCGAGUGGCGAACGGGUGAGUAACACGUGAGUAACCUGCCCGUGACUUUGGCAUAACUUCAGGAAACUGGGGCUAAUACCGGAUAGGAGCUCCUGCUGCAUGGGGGGGGUUGGAAAGUUUCGGCGGUUGGGGGUGGAGUCGCGGCUUAUCAGCUUGCUGGUGGGGUAGUGGCUUGCCAAGGCUUUGACGGGUAGCCGGCCUGAGAGGGUGACCGGAGACAUUGGGACUGAGAUACGGCCCAGACUCAUACGGGAGGAAGGAGUGGGGAAUAGUGCCCAAUGGGAGGAAGCCUGAUGCAGCAACGCCGCGUGCGGGAUGACGGCCUUCGGGUUGUAAACCGCAUUCGCCUGUGACGAAGCGUGAGUGACGGUAAUGGGUAAAGAAGCACCGGCUAACUACGUG
rnacentral:rRNA from 1 species